UACGUAGGGAGCAAGCGUUGUCCGGAAUCAUUGGGCGUAAAGCGCGCGUAGGUGGCCUCAUAAGUCCGCUGUGAAAGUCAAAGGCUCAACCUUUGAAAGCCGGUGGAUACUGUGAGGCUAGAGUACGGAAGAGGCGAGUGGAAUUCCUGGUGUAGCGGUGGAAUGCGCAGAUAUCAGGAGGAACACCAAUAGCGAAGGCAGCCCGCUGGGACGUUACUGACACUGAUGCGCGAAAGCGUGGGGAGCGAACAGG
rnacentral:rRNA from 1 species